rnacentral:rRNA from 1 species
AGAGUUUGAUCAUGGCUCAGGAUGAACGCUAGCUACAGGCUUAACACAUGCAAGUCGAGGGGAAACGACAUCGAAAGCUUGCUUUUGAUGGGCGUCGACCGGCGCACGGGUGAGUAACGCGUAUCCAACCUGCCCAUCACUUGGGGAUAACCUUGCGAAAGUAAGACUAAUACCCAAUGGCGUCUCUAGAAGACAUCUGAAAGAGAUUAAAGAUUUAUCGGUGAUGGAUGGGGAUGCGUCUGAUUAGCGUUGUUGGCGGGGUAACGGCCACCAAGGCGACGAUCGAGUAGGGGUUCUGAGAGGAAGGUCCCCCANAUUGGAACUGAGACACGGUCCAAACUCCUACGGGAGGCA